rnacentral:rRNA from 1 species
GACGAACGCUGGCGGCGUGCUUAACACAUGCAAGUCGAACGGGAAGGCCCUGCUCUUGUGGGGUGCUCGAGUGGCGAAAGGGUGAGUAACACGUGAGUAACCUGCCCUUGACUUUGGGAUAACUUCAGGAAACUCGGGCUAAUACCGGAUAGGAGCUCCUGCUGCAUGGUGGGGGUUGGAAAGUUUCGGCGGUUGGGGAUGGACUCGCGGCUUAUCAGCUUGUUGGUUGGGUAGUGGCUUACCAAGGCUUUGACGGGUAGCCGGCCUGGGAGGGUGACCGGCCACAUAGGGACUGAGAUACGGCCCAGCCUCCUACGGGAGGGAGGAGGGGGGAGGAAUGCACAAUGGGCGGAAGCAUGAUGCAGCAACGCCGGGUGCGGGAUGACGGCCUUCGGGUGGUAAGCCGCUUUCGCCUGUGACGAAGCGUGAGUGACGGUAAUGGGUAAGGAAGCACCGGCUAACUACGU